CUAUAUUCACCUCAACCUUUAAUUAGACAAUCAUAGAAUAACUUUUCCUGAUGAAUUUAGGUCAGUCCAGUUAAGAGCCUGGACACACAACAAAAUGAUCGAGGACGUAGAAUCUGAAAGAGAAAUCUCAAGAACGUUAAUGCAGAGCAGCGUAGAUCCAGUCUCUGGGGAGCAGUUCUCCCUCAGGCCAAUCACCUGUCCCAACUCGCAGGGACUUUCAUCAGCUUCUAGAAUAUUUAGCUCUUCACAGAGCUAA
rnacentral:lncRNA from 1 species